GGUGACGCGCUGUUUACCAGUGGUGCAGGUUGGAUGCAAACUUCAGCGACGCGCGGAGAAUUAGGGUUACCAGGAGUGUUGUCCAUCGCCUGAGAAAGCCAUGCUUAUGGCAAACGUGUACCCACACAAGAAGGAUUAUAUCACAAAGCAGGACAUUCUGCAGAGCAUUUUAUGGAGCUCUAUAGUAACCUGCACGAUAUUAACUGCCACACACGCUCUAUAUCACCAUCAUCGGUGAGGUCUUCUCAUCCUGCUGUCACCCCUCCCCCAGACCUGAUCGCCUUUGUUCCACCGUGAGGAUCAUCCAUCCCUCCUGGGUGAUAUUUGCCAGUGAACGACCACAGGUAGAUUAGCUCCUCUUUGUCUCGCCAGCCAACACACCGUCACCACUGUUACUUAACAUGGGGAAAACAGGACGGACAGAGGGAGGGAAAGAU